GACUCCUCUUCUUCCACACCCAACUAACUACUCUUUCUUUUUAUUACUUCAUCCAAUCAACAUUAAUCAUUUACUUCCUUUGUCCCCAUUCCCCAAUUUUCUUUUCCUCUUUUGCCUCUUGGUUGUCCCCACUGAAAAUGGUCUCUCCCAUCAAAUAGUCCGAUCCUGGUUUUCCUGUCAUGAAAAUGGUGUUGUUGACUACUUCAAACAGUGUUCCAUUAAAGGAGUAGGCUUUUUGAAAACCAAGACCUGCUUUCUUCAGUUCAACCGCAAGAAACCAGUCCUUGAAGCUGACUUCUUUCCAAUUAAAUAACGUGAUAUGGGGCACAAAGGAAGUAAAGGGACCUGAGUCUGCCACAGUGCCACUGAUUUGCAACUCUUUUCACCAAUUUUGGGAGACCAUUAAAAUCAGGCAUGUUGAUUAGCCUCCCCCUCCAAGGUUCCCUCAAUGCUAUAGCCACGUGCAUCUACUGCCACUCCAUUGAUCUUGGAAAGUCCAGUAUUUGUCUCUGCGAGUAAUGAAGGAGGAAAUGAAGCUAUUACAAUGUCAAUAGGCAAUUCUUCUCCUCUUGGGCUCUAUUGCCUGGCAUUCACGUACCAAACAACUGCAAGAAUGACUAUGGGUAUCAUCUUUAGAGCAUCCAUUCUCAUGGGAUUGCUUUGCUAUGGUUUGCUUUCUAGUCCAGCAAUUGCCAUGUCCAAUGUAACAAAUGAGACAUGGCUGAUAUACCAGGGUCGAUGCACAACAAUUCCAGAGUGUAUUGCAAUUUGUAAGUAAGAAAAAUACGCUGAUGGAGGCGUUUGCAAAAAGCCUUCUAGUGAUUCACCCUACGUUAAUUGCUAUUGCAUAGCCUAUUGAAUUAUAAGAAGCCUUGGAAUUGUGUGAUCUUUGCGUGAUGAUUCUGAGUUAUUAUGGAAUGAAUAAUUAUUUUGAUGA